rnacentral:sRNA from 1 species
AUGAUGCUUCUCAAGUUUAGGAUGGUUUGCAUCAGUGGAUAUUGUGCGCUGGGCUGCUGUGGAAGUUGCAUGCAUAGCAAGCAAGUUGGCCAUACUGUGCAUGGGAAUUUUUCCAACUUACCAUGUAAAAUUGUUUACUGAGACAGCUUCCUAAUCACUUGUUUUUCAGUCUUAUGCCUUUUUUUUUUUUUUAAUUUCAACUUUCAGUGGCAUUUGUACUACCAAGUUGUGAAGCAUUGUGUUUAGGAGAUAGGUUGUCAUGUAUCUUCCACGACACUAAUUCUGAAGUUAGAAAAGUUUCUGCUCCGGUAAGUUAUUGGCAGGCAGCUUUAAUAGUGUCAAAUAAGUUGAUUCUCUAUACUGCAUUAUGAACCAUCAUUUAUAGGUGCAAGUGUGUAGGCUGUAUAAGUAUACUUCCCAAUUUUCUCUUACAUCUGCCAGAAAAAUCUCAUAAACCUUAGUUUGGGUAGAUCCUUGAUCAACGCUUCAGCAUCUCUCUUUCACUUCCAAGGCCUGCAGCUUCCAAGUUUUCUGUGGGCAUAGAAUUGUCCUAUGGUGCUUUGUCCUCCCUUGAGGAUGUUAUAGCCAUAUUGAGGAGUGUAAUUUUGUCCAGAAACUCUUUGUAUUAUUUUCAUUGUUUAUUCAGUUUUUUUUAAAAUUUUUUUUGAAGCUGUGGAAGGGAAUUGUAAAACUAGGAUGAAAUUUUUGGUUUUUCUAUAUGUAUAAUCAGGAUGCAUCUAUUGAUCCAUCAGAGUAUUCAACAGAAUUAUUUCCUGUCUGUAUUUUGUUGACAAAGGAUGAGGUUUUUUUUAUUUAUGUUUUUGUUUUUGUUUUUGUUUGUAGAAAUACAGUUGCUUGUGUUCCCAGAUUAUUGUACUUUUUUAGUCGUUAUAUUUGCCUUUGAGUACACUACCUGUAUGCUUGCCUGUAGUCUUGCUCAUCAGCUAUAUGUGAUAAAAUCAAGCAGUCAGCUGAAAGGGGCCAUACAAGCUGUCGUUGAGUUUGUUAUGAAGAGGGGGCAUGAGCAGGUCAAAAUUGAUGUUUCAAGGUUUUCCUACUUAAAAAUUUCUGUAGCAUUAAAAAAUUUCAGAAUUUUGGAACUCUGUGUAUAUCUUCUUCUUCUUUUUUUUUUUUUUAAUAAAAAAAUUAUGAAUGCAAUUGUGUGUAUAUCUUCUGAUAAGUAGAUUGCUGUAUUUUUUAGUAAGACUGAUGAUUUAUUGCCAACAGAACAACCCAAUCUUUGCUCUCUGCUACGGUUAUGUAACUGAAAAGCAUUUACGUUUGGAAACUCUUGGUGCUGUAUCCUUCUUUCAUUUAGAUUCAUUAACCUGCCUGUUGCUAUAGUUAGCACCUAUUUUUUGCUUAACUGUCUCUGGCUUUGUUGAAUCAACUAUGCAGUUACCGUUUUUUCUUUUUUGGUGGUUCCUUUGUCUCUUAAGCAUGUCCUUAACUUCCUAAAUAUUUCUUCCUUAUCUGAGAACACUAGUUCAAAAAUUGUUUUCAAUGAUGUAUUGGCUACUGCUGGAAGGGAUGUAGUCACAAAAGAUAUAUCUAGACUACAUGGUGGCUGGUCAAUGCAGGAUGCAUUUUAUGUAAGUUAUAUUUGUUUUAUGGUAUGAAAAUUGUUGUUGUUAGACAUUUAUUUUAUAUUAUCUGUGACAUUACCAGUAACCAUAAGUGAGUGUUAAGUUCACUAAUAAGCAGAAAAUAUAAAAUAAAUGCUCAAGUGACAUGCCUCUAGCCAGAUUACACUUAGGAUUAUGAAUUGUGUUUGUAUGUCUUUUUUUUUUCUUUCUUUCUUUCUUUAUUAUCAUAAUCUUUAUUUUUUGCCCCUCAAUUAAAUAAUCCAUUUCGAUAAUUUAUAUACUAAACCAACUGUUUAUUUAGUUUUCUAUUCUAUACUUUUUGUAAUAGGCAUUUUCCCAGCAUACAGUGCUUUCAGCUUUGUUCCUGGAGCAUGUGAUAUUUGUCCUUUGCCAGCCUCCAAUUCUGAGAGGUGAUUCCUGGAAAGGAGAGAACUCUAGCCAUCUUGCUGACGAUCAGAUGGAAGAUGACGUUCUGCAAACCUCUAUUUUUGCUCUCAAUGCAUUUUUCAGGUCCAUACAAUUGGCUGCAUUCAUCAAGUCUCUAAUUUUAUUUAUCAAAAAAAAAAAAAAAAAACUUUUGAUUUUGUUUAGAUAUAUAAGAGAGGUUUGCUCUUUUUGUUUCUAUCACUUGAUUGUUGUUAGUUUAAUAUCUUUUUUUUUUCCACCAUUUCUUUCAUUAAUGUGUUUAAAUGAUUUUAGCUUGAGAGGACUAGUACAGAUUUAAUAUUUUAUACAAACUGUAAAAUUGCCAUGUGGUGUUGAAUUUCUCACAAGUAGAUAGGUGUUGAACUAUUUGUAUUAUUCUUUUCCUUUUGUUUUUAUUUUUUAUAUUUAAAUGUUAAAAAUUAAAAAUUUGUUCCUAUCACUAUUUUUAAAUUUUUUUUUUUUUAAAGUAUUAAAAACUUUUCAUGCAUUGUUGUCUGAUCCAGUUUUGACAUAGGAACCUAUAGUGUUGAGACUAUUUUGAUAACUAACUACACCACCCAGACAUUCCUAUCAUUAUUUUUAGUAAAAUUUCAAUGAUCAAAUUAUUUCUUUUUGCUGAAUAGUUGAACUGUGCAUAUACACUCGCUUGCAAAUUUUCUGGCAGGCACACAGAAUCAUGGACAGCCAAGUACACUCGCUUGCCUUUUCUAGGCUCCAUUUGUUUUAGCUCUGUUUUAUAUGAAAAUGGGCUUAUGUAG